rnacentral:rRNA from 1 species
AUUGAACGCUGGCGGCAUGCCUUACACAUGCAAGUCGAACGGUAACAGACCUUCGGAUGCUGACGAGUGGCGAACGGGUGAGUAAUACAUCGGAACGUGCCUAGUAGUGGGGGAUAACUACUCGAAAGAGUGGCUAAUACCGCAUGAGAUCUACGGAUGAAAGCCGGGGAUCGCAAGACCUUGCGCUACUAGAGCGGCCGAUGGCAGAUUAGGUAGUUGGUGGGAUAAAAGCUUACCAAGCCGACGAUCUGUAGCUGGUCUGAGAGGACGAUCAGCCACACUGGGACUGAGACACGGCCCAGACUCCUACGGGAGGCAGCAGUGGGGAAUUUUGGACAAUGGGCGCAAGCCUGAUCCAGCAAUGCCGCGUGCAGGAAGAAGGCCUUCGGGUUGUAAACUGCUUUUGUACGGAACGAAACGGCCUGGGUUAAUACCCUGGGCUAAUGACGGUACCGUAAGAAUAAGCACCGGCUAACUACGUGCCAGCAGCCGCAGUAAAAC